GGAUAGCUCAGUUGGUUAGGGCAUGGUUCUGAUAAUGCCAAGGUUGCAGGUUUGAUCCCCGUAUGGGAGCCA
rnacentral:tRNA from 1 species